rnacentral:rRNA from 1 species
CCUACGGGUGGCAGCAGUGAGGAAUAUUGGUCAAUGGCCGGAAGGCUGAACCAGCUAAGCCGCGUGAGGGAGGAAGGCGCAGAGCGUCGCAGACCUCUUUUGCCGGGGGACACAAUGCCGCACUCGUCCGGUCCUGAGUGUACCCUGUGAAAAAGCAUCGGCUAACUCCGUGCCAGCAGCCGCGGUAAUACGGAGGAUGCGAGCGUUAUCCGGAUUCAUUGGGUUUAAAGGGUGCGCAGGGGGGCCUUUAAGCCGGCGGUGAAAUCGCGGGGCUCAACCCAGCCGAGACGUGGGAACUGGGGGCCUUGAGUGCGGCGGAGGCAGGCGGAAUGCGCGGUG